AUUUAAAUUCAAUAACAUUUUGUAAACUUUAGCAAUAAUAUGUUCAUCACUACCACACAGUAGGCUUUCCAAUUCAUUUUUAACAAAAUUAAACCCAUGAUUCUUUUUAUCUAACUUGAAUUUUCUUUCAAUUGCAUAUAUGUAAACCAAUGGCAGACAUGACCUUUUGAUUCUAGCUCCUCCUUGGAUUUGAGGGUAGGCUCACCCAAGUUGAAAGAUGUUUUAGCAUUAAGUCCACCAAAUUGGCCUCAUCAUCAUCUCUUUUCUAAAAAAGUCUUCUUGCAGGGAAACCCAAAGUGGCAGCUUCAUAGAGAACCUUGUUUUAUAUUUAAUCCAAACUCUCAAAAUGGUGUGCCUGGUAAAAUGAGUAUUAAAAUCAACAUUUACUUUGUCAUACCACAGAUAGCCAUGCCAACCAAACCUUAAUUCAUGGCCUUCUAGGUCCAGUAACCUCUUAUUCUGAAGGUUCACCCAUUCUUUUAGCCAAACCAAACAACAAGCAUCAAAAUACAGUUUCAAAUCAGGUAAAUCCAAACAGUGGCUCUUAUUGCUAAACUUUCAGUUUCUAUUGCCGUCCAUUAAGCUUUUGAGAGUCACAGUUAAAGUUCUCUUAUGAAGGUAAACUCUCCCCAAUCCCCUCCUAGCAUUUACUUAAGAAACAACAAUGGGCAACUGAGUAUAGGCAGCUCAAGUACAGAGACAAAAGUUCCUUUCAGUGAGUGGAGACACUGGUGCCUCUUUUAUGUAGCCAUUUAUAGAUAUAUGGCAGUCUUCCUGAGAUAGCUAACUUUUUUUUAAUGUGGAAUGUGUGUCAUAUGGGUUUUAAUGGCCUGGUAUGAAACUAUGGAUUAUUUGAACAGAAGACACAUAGCUAUCCUUUAAUCUUCCACUGUAAGAACCUCCCCCCCCAAAAAAACACUGAGAAUUUUUAUAUGGAAAUUAGAACCUAUAUUGAUAUUCUCAGCUUUCUCACCUUAUCUGGUACCUUAAAUGUGUUGCUGAGUGGGGAGGUGUGUUUUCCUAUGCACAAAUCCACAAACUAAAAAAAAUACUGUCCUGUGAUACUCUUUGUGUCUCUGUAGUUAUGAAUGUGGAGUCAAGCAAUGGAAUAUCCUUUGUCUUCAGUGGAAGGAACGCCUCCCUUCCCUCCAUUCAGAAAAACUCCAGAGAAGAAAAUGCUCCUUUGCUCUCUCUGUGUACAGGAAAAUUCUGGCAGAGAACAGUGAAAAAUGUUGGGAUUCUAUAAUAAACAUAUUUUGAGGGAUUUAGCAUUGGAAUAAAUACUGUUGUUUGCUUUAUUUUCCAGUCUACCACAAGAAGAUGAUGGAGGACAUGGUGGUCAUAAAUAUGGAGAUGAUAGUGAGUUAUUUGUCCCAUGAAUUAUUAUGGCUUCCCCUAAUGAAAGGCGAGGAGGGGUGUGUUGCUUCAAAGCAUCCCCAACACAUCAUCCACUCCCUUUAUACACUAAUUCCAUUUUAGAUGGCGUGUCCUAUGUUUCAGGUGCCAGUCCUCAAUGGGUCCUUGGUCCCUGGGUGCCCCACCACAGCACCUGUAGCAGAGAUAGGCACAGCAGAAGCUUCUCAAAGGCAACCCCAUAGUUUCUGCCAAUAUGGUCACUGGGAGAUGAUGGGAGCUGGUGAUCAACAGCAUUUAUGGGUUUUCUCUCCUGACUGUCAUUACACACAUACACACACAAUUAAAAAAACUUGACAAACACAAAUAUACUAAAAAGAAAAAAAAGAAAAAGGAAAAGAUAAAAAUGAACAAACAACACUUUUUACAAAUCAGAUAAAAAUUAUCUGAGCAGAGAUUUAUAUGACUGUAGUAUUAAACAUAGUAUUAGACUCUCCAUUAAUUUUUUCUCUUCCUGUACAGUGACUCGGUUGGUGAACCAUAGCCAUUUCUGGACUCCAAGGCCCACGUUGAUGGUCCCUGAAGAGUCAAAAGUUGCAUUAUUGAAAUGGGGAUUUUAAUUUUGAAUGACAAUCGAGAAAUGAAAAAGGUUUUGUAUGCUUGCAACACUGCAAUAUUCAUAAACCUAAAAAACUGCUACCUUCCAAAAAUCCUCAAAGGGAAAUCUGAUCUUUUCUAUGAUUCCAUCAUUUCACCACCAUCUAAACUUCCUUCUGCAUUAUUGCAAAGAAUAUAAAUAUCUUGUUCAAAAUACUGCCAGUUUCUCUGUUAGCCCCUCAAGUUCAUUGAGAAGGAAUGGGCUCCAUUUGGGCAUCACUUCACCCAUAAAUAUUAAAUGCAUUUCUGCUCAUUCACUAAUCCCGUGUUCAUGGGCUGUAUGAUAGGUGUAGAGAUGAAAUGUUGGAUAGUUGUAUGUCAGCUGUCAUCCACUGAAGAGUUUCUGACAUUCCUCUGCAUUUUAAAAAUAAUAUUACUGAUUCAUUGGGUUUUGUAAUAUAGUUCUAAAUAGUCCUGGGUAAGGGAGACAAGCAUCAUCUCUUGAACAAACAGGACUAGAUGUAUGUCAGAGUACAAUGUAUUACUUACCAGCAUGAUACUCUGCGAGGUGAGGGUGAGAGGGUAUAUUUCUGAUACUGCUUUAAAGGUUUGCUCCCUGUUAUGUUUCUAUUUUGUUAUCUGAAUUAAUCAAAGGGAUCUUCUAGAGCAGACAUGUCAAACUCGCGACGUCAUGUGACGUUGCGCAACGAAUUGGAACAAUUUUGCCAUUGCCGGCAAUGGGGUGGGCACGGCUUCCAUGUAACGCUUCUGGCCCAUGGGCCGGCAGUUUGACACCCCUGUUCUAGAGUAUCUCCUCACCUAGUCACUUCGUGUAAGAUCAGCUCAUACGUUCCUCUCCUCCCUCACAUGUUCCAUGACUCUAGAAGGGUGUCUUUAAUUGUCUUUUAUCCACAGAGGGGGCUCCAAAUUGAAGGAUUAGAUGUGAGUUGUAACACUUUGAAGCAUCAAAUAUAAUGGAAACAUAAUACAAUUGUGCAUUAUGCAAAAUGAUAUUUAUUUUCCUUUAUCAGAAAAAUAGAUCAAAGAGCUUCUGGAUGAAAAUGAUAGCCAUACUCUCUGACUCUUCUCUUUUUUGUCUUUGAAUCAGGAUUGCCUACAAUUUUGGAAAUCAUAAGUACCUUAUUCUAUCAGGUAUUAUAAUCAGCACAAUUUUAAAUUUCUUUUGGAUGAAAAAGGCAGAGGGAGCAGGUUUGUACAUUUGCCAAUUUCAUAUAUGUAACACAAAUUAGUUUAAAAUUUCAUAUUAAAAAUGCAGCAGUGUAAGUUUUAUUUACAGAAAUUCAAUAUUCUAAUAAAACUAGAGGGGCAGCCUGAAAUUUCAAUGCUGACUUCAAAUAAGCACAUUUUUUUCUCCAGUUUUCAUUAAUCUUUUUUUAAAAUUUGGUAUUGUUUCUCAGAUUUUUUUUUUAAAAAAUAUGCCGGUAUAAACAGGACUGCAAUCCUAAACAUGGAAAAUCUUGGAAAAGAAAAGGAAAUUUGCCUGCUCUUUCAUCAGGCAUUAGGCCACAACAAUCCACUUAGCAUGCUUACUCACCUUGCUUAUCUAAAUUGUGUUUUUUUCAGCAAUGAUUUUGACCACUAUAAGUUUCAUCAAACUGUAAUUAAUCACCAGGGAAAAAUAGGGAUCUCUGGUAUCCAAGAGAAUUUAUGAAGCUGUAGCCCGAUGGUGAACAUUCUCAGGUGAUAAUUUUAUAUGUAUGUGUGCAUGGAUGUCUUCUGUGUAUACACAUCUAUAAAUAUACAAGUCCAAAUAUGAUAGAUAGAUAGAUAGAUAGAUAGAUAGAUAGAUAGAUAGAUAGAUAGAUAGAUAGAUAGAUAGAUAGAUAGAUAGAUAGAUAGAUAGAUAGAUAGAUAGAAUUGCAGAAGACAAGGGAUGACUUUGGGAGAAAUUUUUGCAUAAUUCCCGGUUAAUUGAGAACCUGGAGAAUUGUUCUUUUAGGGGGUCGCUAGAUGCAGAGUUUGUUUCCCAGUUGAUGUCAGUGUAGUUAAGUUGCCCAUUACUAUUGUGGUGUGCUUCCUGCACACCAUAAUUAAUUGUGCCCUUUGGGUCAUCAUUUCAAAGACAUUUCCUUACCAAAACAGACAAACAGAAUGAUUGUCAGGCAAAAAAGUAGUGAGAGCAGGAGUGAUUUCUUACUGGCUUUCCUGUUGUUCCCUUGUGGGAAUCUGGCAGGGGGCACCAGAAAUUGCCUGCCUGCCUGUCUGCCUGCCUGCCUGCCUCCCUCCCUUCCUGCCUGCCUACCUGGUUGCAGAAGUGUUGUCCAAUUGGUCCAGAGUUCAAGGGCAUCAUGAAAGGUGUCAGCCAAUCCUAAGGUCUAAGGUUCAAGAAUGAAAUUCAUACACUGGAUCACACAUGAGAAAAUCUUGUUUCUAGGAUACCCAAGUCCUUUAUACAAGUCGCAGCCAAUUGUCGCUAACUGGAAUAUUUACUGUGUUGCUGAACAAGUAACCAAACAGAUCUUCUCUGUUCCUCUCUCCUUUCUACUGGUCUUGUUUGGGGACUUGGAGACCUCAUGUCAUCGUCCUCUAACAGCUCCAGCUGCUCAGGCGCUGUUUGUCAUUGAUCUGCCUCAAGUGAUACCUUCCUUCCCCAGGCUGAUAUUCUUCAGGUUCCAUCUCAGAUUCUGACCAUGGGCCAUGACAAGUCAAAACAGAAAUGUGAAAGGAGCCAGAGCUGACUAUUUCAAGGGCAACCCUGAAUGAUGCGGUAGAAGGAUAAUCCUGAUAAAGUCGUGUCCUCCAGGUGAUAGCAUCCAGGUUACUAAGGGAAAAAAAAGAAAAGCUGCAUAUUUGGUCCUAAAAUCAAACAGACGUAUUUGCUUUGGGGAUUAUUUCUAUUAUUCCCACCUGAAUAAAUGUAAUUGUUCCUAUCAUAUUUUUUUUUUUUAAAUUAAGCUUUCCUUAUGAAACGAGCAAGGAUGAGUUCAUGUUUAAUGGCUCCAGGGGUCAGAAAAAUGAAUUAAUGAGAUGAAGAGGAAUAACACAACCACUCUGGGAUACCACUGACACUUUUCUUGCCAAGGCUGCUUUCCUCUGCCAAAGCCUUGCAAGCCCUUUGCGCUUUCACCUCCAGCAGAGAAUCUGGGGAGAGUCUUCCAAUGGUUAGAGAUAAUGUCUCUUUUGAAAGGAAGGAAAUAGUUGAAAGGUUAAAGUGCAAUUAAGCAAUGCUUCUGUCAGAGAUGCUGCAGGGUUUCCUGUGCUGCACAGGAGCUUGGACUAAAUGACCUUGAAGCAUGAGAAGACUGUGAUAAUUCUCUUAUUAUAUGAUUCUACACCUCAGCUAUCCAAAAUUAAACAAUCAGUUGCUGGGGGUACAUCUUGCAAAGUGACCUGGGAAAAGUUCAGUCCCAUGGAACCUGAGGAAGUGUACAAGGCCUUCUCAGCUGCUAGUUUGGCCACUUUUGUGUUAGAUCAUGCCCUUCCUGGUUUAUUAAAGCUGCAUGGGAGGGGAUGUGGGUUUGGGUCUGGGCAGUAGUUAAGCCUUCCUUGAAAUUGAGAGUGGUCCCACCAGCUCCUGAAGAGGUGUUGUUGUCCCCUGCUCUGACUAUGUACCAGCUUGGUCUUAAUCCCAAACUGUGAGUCGUAAGGAAGUGGCUGGCCCUAUGUACUUUCACAGAAUGUUCUGUUCUCAGCAAGAUGAAGAGGGCUCAGAGCCCAACUUGAAAUGAUCUUUGAAGAACAGGGAAGACAUUGAAAGUAAAGAUUAAUCCAAAUUGGCCUCAAGCACAAGAAGGAUAUGCUCAGGAUAUGAACAUCCAGGAUAAAAGAGGUACUCAUUGUUCUUUAUGACAUCAUGCAGGCUAAACAUUACAAGGGCUAAAAGAAACAAAAACUUUAGCAGAAUCAAUACAUUCAAACUGAGCUAUCUCAAUGAACCCUAGAAAAUGAACUUAAGCUAAAGCAUGCUAAAUAAACAAACAUAUAACUUCUAUAGAUUAAAUGUUGCAAUUUCAAUCAUUGCAAAGGGAUCAUGUGAUACUAAUUGUAGGAAUUUGAGAAUGAGGUGAGACUUGGUAGGGGAGAUAAUUGGGGGACUUCCAAUGAUUUAAGAAUCAUAAAUUAUCUCUCAAGGUUGAAAUAGCAAACUGUCCCUAGAGCAAAAUACAAUGUUUGGGUAUAUAGAUACACUGAUGUCAGCAGAUGAUGAUGAAAGCUAGGUUUUUAAAUAAAUUUUUAGUCUCAGUGAUCUAUGUUUUAGUUUUUGAAUACACUGAAGUAGAGUGAAGAUUGCAAUGCAAUAGGUAGUUGAGAAGCAGUACUUAGUCCUAUUUCAUCCAAAAUGUACUGAUAGAAAGGGGGAAAAUAAGAUACAUAAGAAGUGACUUUUAAUCUUUAUAGGUGUUAUAACACCCUUGAUACCAUUUCAUCUUCAAAAUUGCACAACCCAUAGCAUGUACAGCAAUCUAUCCCUGAAGUAAAAUAUAAUCAAUUCAUAUAUAUUGAAAGAUAAGGAAAAAAGUGUUGAAAACAAUAGUAGCAAAGAACAAAAACAACAAAAGAAAUGUAAAGAAGCAUUUAUUGUGUGUUUCCAAUUUCUAGUUCUCCUCUUCAGACUGCAGGAUGCCCUGCUGUAUUCAUGCAGCUGAUAAACUAAGUACUACAUGAGCACCUAGAAAGGAGUUUUGCUGUAUUUGGAGCACAUUCUAAUCAUACUGAAACUAUGGCGGAGCAUAUAAAAUUGGUCAGGGCUAUGUUCAAAAAGCUUAGAGCAGCCCAGUUGUACAUCAAACUGUCCAAAUGCAUGUAGCAGAGUUGGGAUGAGAAUGGGGCCAGCUGAGAGGCUUUGUGGGAGCCUUGCCGAUUUGGCAGGAAGAUGAGGAGCUGCCAUGGGUGGUGGCAGGGCAUGGCUUGGAGAGGGAAGAAAAAGGAGGAGGAAGCCAAUAGCAUGGAGGAAGAGACUGGAAGGUGGCGUUUUUUCAGUAGACUUCGAACGGAGCAGGCGAGAAGGCUUGGUAGAACUUGCCAUUCUGAGCCAGCUAAUUGAAGAGAAAGUAAGAAGCUGGGGUUUCAUGUUUGCCUUUUGUUUUGUUGCAGGCAAGCUGGAUGAAAGGGGGAGGGGUAGAGAAUGAGAGUAGCUUGCUGGAGCUGUUUUCUUGAAGCAGGUUAGGCAGAGAGAGAGUGAGAGGCAGGGAAGGUGAAGUUUUAUUGUUUCUUUCUCUUUCAUUGAGGGCAGGCUAGAAGAAGAAAGGGAGAGAGGGAAGGUUGGGAAGUUUUAAUUCCUUUCUCUCAUUGGAAUAAGCUAGGGAGAAGUAGAGUUAGGAAAGAGUUUGACAGGGUUGGGGGGUAUGUCUUUUAUUCGGAGAUAGUUUUUUUUAUAGGAUUAGCCGGGGGAAGUAGAAAGGGAUUACAUGGAGUGAGGUCAGAGUGCGACGAGGUGAGUGGAUAAGGAAGGCCUCUGCCAGCACCAGAGGUUGACUGCAAUCAUUCUAGGCAAGUUGUUGUCAUCAAAAACUGAUGAAUAUCAGGCCGACGCGACCACCAUGGAUGCUUGGAAGACAAGCUCCGUCUUCUUCGUCCAGUUUCGCUUUGCUGGGAGACCCUGAGAAGGGUUGAAAGUUGCCCUAUAGGGUGACCAGCAAGGAGGGGCCUCUGCUGGAUUGCGGGAGAGUGGUAGCUCUUCCACUAGAUCCAGCGCAACCCUCCAAACCGGCAGAUGAAAGACCGGCCAUAGCAAUAUGGCUUGUCACUAGGUUGCAGACAGCCAAAGUCACACUUACUACCAGGCACCUACAAAGUAGCACGGAUGAGACUGGGUGAGAUCUACCUCUCUUAAAUCCAACUAUCUUUUUGACCUGCAUAAGCUGCCUAAAGUACUUUCCCCCCUGUGUAGAGAGGGAAAGGAAAUCUUAUCCCACCCUCUAAUAACAGUGGCAACUGACUAUCCAGGGGAGCUUAAAACAUUGAAAGAAUUACUUGAUUUUAACUGGACUUUUAUUUUCCUAAAGUUUGAAGACUAAAAGAUUCCUCAUUUCUUAUUUUUUACUCUAUUUUUAUUGAAGAUUUGGGUUUUUAUCUACAAAAAGAAGUAAAAUUCUUAAGUGGUAUGGGUGACACCUUGUAGCUAAACUUGGUAUUACAAUUUGUUAUUGCCUAACAAGACUUGGCUCAUAGCCCAGACCAGGGGUAGGCAACCUUGGCUCUUUUAUGAUUUGUGGAGUUCAAUUCCCAGAAUUCCUGAGCCAUCAUGGCUGGAUCAGGAAUUCUGGGAGUUGAAGUCCACAAGUCAUAAAAGAGCCAACGUUACCUACCGCUGGCCCAGACUAUAGAUAAGACCUCUGUAAACUUGGAAGAUAUUAACUCUGAGAAGCCCAGCUGUGCUCUACACUUAGUGAUAAAACUACUUUUACUUUCUGACUGUAAAGCUUUUAAUUCUGCACACUAUUAAAAAAUGGAUGAAGAUCUGGAACAGACUCUUUUUUUUAUGAGAACACUUAUUAAAACUAUUAUCACAGCUACUGAUGAAUUAAGAGGCUACAGAAAAGAACAAGAUGUCAGCCCAAAUAUACAAACUCAAAUUCUGACUACAAUUAAAGAAUCAACUACACAGCAUAUAAUAGAAGAAGAAGUGAAACAAUUAAACAAUACUACUAAUUGAUCAACAAAUAGACCUAAUAGAAAACCCAGAAAAGAGACUGACAAUAUGGAAAAUGGAAAGGAGUCUCUCUACAAACCAGAAGAAGCUUGAGGAACAAGAAGAAGAACAGAUGGAAGGGAAGAUAAAUAUUCCAGGACAACUACAUCAAGACAGAAAGAGAAAGAGACGUUUUGUUAGCAUUCCCACAAAAUUGAUGAUUGGAUGCCCUCUUUUGUUUCAAAUAAUAUGUAUAAUAACAGAGGGAGAUCUAUUUGAUGAUUUGACAGCAUGGAGAUGGAAGAUGAGCUGGCAAAGAAAGAAAGCUAGAAUAAGAUUGAAAAAAUUGGGGUUUUGACUUAUUAGUUAAGAUUAAAAGAGAAUAUACUUAAAUAGAUAAGAUGUAAUAAAGAUAAUUUUGAGCAUCUAAAACUUGAAAGUAUAAAUAUUAAAAGCUAAAGUUGAAUAUUAAUUUGCCUACAAAGAUUGAAUGUAAAAGUAAUUAAGACAUAUAUAAGCUAAAACUCUAUUGAAAAUGUUCAAUGUUUUAUUUAGCGGAUCUAUUAAGAAUUAUAUUAACUUAAUACGAGAUAGUCAACAUUAAGAGAAAAAGGAAGUAUCUGAUGCUGAAAAAAGAGAAAUUUUGAUUACUAAGGUUAAGAUAUUUGGAAAUUAAUAGAAAAUAAGAAUGUUAUAUAGUAUUAUUAAUAAGAUGGUGUAAGAUGGUGUGAAAUAGUAUAAGUUUGAACAGAUAAGAUUUGUAUUGUGAAUAUUAGACUGUGUAAUGAAUUUGAUAAUGGGAACUUUGGUUACUCAAAAUUUGGAAAUUAUAAUCUACAAAUGUUAAAUUUAAAUAUUAACGGGAAAUUAAAAAUUGAGAAAAUUGAUUAGGACAUUGAUUGUCUAUAAAGAUUGAAUGUUAAAAUAACUAUGGUAGGUAUAAGUUAAAACAUUAUUGAUAACUGUAAAAAUGUUUUUAUUCAAUUGAAAUAAUAACAAUUGUAUUAGUUUAAAUAAGAGACAGUAAAUGCUAAAGGAGAAAAGAGGAUAUAUGUAAGAUGGUACUUUGAGAUAUGUAUUAAACAUACUUGUAAGUUAUUGAAUUAUCAGUUAACCCAACCGCCAUGUUGCUCUUGAAAUUCUUAAAUGUAAAAUCAGAAAAUUAAUAAAACUUUCUUUUUUAAAAAAGCCUACUUAACAUCAUCCUGGGCAAGUUGUUUCCACUAGAGACUGACUACCAUUGUUUUAGGCAAGUUGCUGUCACCAGAGUCUGACUGUCAUCAUUCUAGGCAAGUUGUCACCAGAGGCUGAUUAACAUCAUCCUGGGUAAGUUGUUGUCAUCAGAGACUGACUACCAUUGUGUUAGGCAAAGUUGCUGUCACCAAAGAUUGACUGCCAUCGUUCUGAGCAGGUUGCUGCUACCAGAGAUGGACUACCAUUGCCUUACGCCAGCUGCUGUUAUCAGGAUUUGGCUACCAUCUUUUCCUGUAAGUUCUUACUGCCUAAGAUCAACCACCAUCAUCCCACAUGAGUCACCGUCGAGACAGAGUAACCAUGACCGCCCCAUGUGCGUGGCUGCUGAUCGUGAGUGAAUACCACCGUGUUACAUGCUAUGUUAGGCAGAGGUGCCAACAUGAAAGACCUCCUUGGGCUGGUGGUCAUCUGGAAGGGAGGUCAGGAGGGCCAGAACUUAAGCGGACUCUACCAAAACUGAACAUAGGUGGGCAGUAUGGGAAAAGGAUGCAUAUGCAAUGCAUUAGGCACUCUUAACCUGGAGGCAUUUCUUGGAACAGGGAAAACACAUUUUGAGAUAUGGAUUGACCACAAGAACUUAGAAGUCCUAAAAACUCCAUAGAGGUUGUUGACCAAACGAGUCCGCUAGGCUCAAUACUUUAACUGAUUCAAUUUCAUACUGCAAUAUCUCUCAGGAGGAAGAACUUCCUAGCAGAUACCCUAUCCAAUCUACCACAAUAUAACAGUUCAAACCUGGAGGUGGUUAGACUGGUUAUUCCAACCCAGCAACUAGCAGCUCCAGUCACCACCAGAGCACAAGCUAAACUAAAACACCAGGUAGCCAAGGGGAGCCCUGAAAGCAACACUGGAGAAGGACAAGUGGUUCUAAGCCUACAAGGGGGAAUGCUUGAUGCAAGAUGAUUUAUCCAAAUUGUACAUCUCUGAAAGUCAAUGGAUGAUGAUCUUAUAGAAAAGCCAUGACUCCAAAGUUGUGGGACAUUCUGGUUUAGUCAAAACCUUACAUUUGGUUAAGCGCCAAUUUUGUAGCCAUCACUAAAGAAAGACAUACAGAGUUAUAUAAUAGUUACCCUACCUAUGCCUCUGCAGAAAAGCAUAAAGGGAAGACACCAGGGCUCCUCCAGCAGGUGGCCAAGCCCAAAGCCCCAGGGAAAGAGAUUUCAAUGGACAUUAUAAUAAAGGUACCGGAGAGUUCAGGAAAUGCCGUGAUUUGGGUGAUAAUAGAUUUAUUUUCUAGACAAGUACAUUUUGUGCCCUGCCAAAAAAUCUCAUCCACUUGCACCUUAGCCAAACGGUUUGUAUAGCACAUCUGUAGACUGCACGCAGCCCCAGAAAGAAUAAUUUUGGACCAUAGCAUCCAGUUCACAUCAUGGUUUUGGCAAGAGUUCUUAAAAUUUUUGGGGACCACACAUAGGCUUAGCUCCUCAUGUCAUCUGGAAAUGAAGAGAGGUUGUGAGUGUGCUUCUUGUAUCAUCUGGAAAUGAAUGGAUGUUGUGAGCAAUAUAUCAGGUGUUACAUUAAUUAUCAACAGGACAAUUGAGCGACCUCCUUCCUUUCACUGAGGUUGCUUACAAUAAAUCAGUACACAGUAGCACUGGAUUCACCCCCUUUAAAAUGGCCAUCGGGCAGGACUUUGUGUCUAUCCCUAGGUUGCCCCAGGCCACCAAAAGACUUUAAAGUUGGGGACAGGGUUUAUUUAUCCGCCGAGUACUUACAGUAUAUCCAACCUUCCCCCAAAACUGGGCCUGAAAUAUGUUGACCCUUCCCCCAUUAAUUUAAGAACCUGAUCACCACUGAGCUCGAGCUUCCAAAAAAACGUAGAUGGGCCCCCUCGGUGUUCCACUGCAGCCUAGUGAAACCAGACACAGAGAGGCUGGAAAUACUUGGGACGCUCCAAACAUUGAAUACUCCCAAAGCACUUAGACCUUCAUCCAUUGGCUGGAAAUGGACUGGUCAAGGGGAGGGGGAAAGGGUUGGAUUGAAGGGAAAAGCCUGUAUGUUUUCUCAUGGGAAAUGUAGUUCUAGCCUAAUAAGCACCCUUUAGAAAAAGAGCCUAUCACUUCAAACCAAAUAGAGUAGAGAGUCUUUCUUUCCUAAUAGGACAAUCCAGUUUGGGUAGGCCAGAAACCUUUUUGGAUUGAUGCUUCAUUCUUUAUAUAUAUAUAAAAAGGGUCAGUGGACAAAUUAUCUGUGAUAUUUGUGAUUUCCCUCAACUUGCUCUGAGGAUUUAAUCAUGUGUAGAUUUGUCACAACUUCACGAACCAUAAAGGACUAUUUCUUCUUCAUCCUAGAAGUUAUUUCCAUUUCCUUGCCAUCCACUGGUUCUGCCCAUUCUUUUCAUUGGAGCUUAAUCCUUUAAAAAAGGGAGCUCAUUAUACAGUUACUCCAUAACGCUUUGUGAUUUUAUUCCGCUAAGAAGUUAAUGUUGUGUAGAUCUGCCACAAUUCCACAGAGCAUGAAAGUCUGGAUUCUCUUUGUGCUGGCAGCAAUUGCCUUUGCCUUGCCAGCCACAGGUAAGACACUCCCAUUGCUAUUCCCUUUGCUUCUGAUGGGAGGGUGAGGAAGGUCCUUGGAGUAAAUUGGGAAUCAGGGCUUUCUUCUCUGAAUGCUUCUAGUGUGGAAUGUGUUCAUAUGGGUUUUAAUGGCCAGAUGUGAAAUGAUGGUUUAUUUGCACAGAAGAUAGAUAAAUAUAUUUUAAGCUUCCAUUGUGAGUUCAUGAAAAUUCUCAGUCAUCCAGAUAGUUUUGUCUGGAAGUUGAGUUGCAGCAACUGGAUUUCUUUCCUUCUUUUGCUUUGUAAUGUUUGCUGUCUAUUCAAGUAUCUUCUUCUUUUUUGCAUUCUAAGAAGUCCAAAUAGAAAAGUGAUAUUUUUUAAAUUAAAACUAGAACUUAUAUUUCUAUUCACAGCUUUCUCACCUGUUCUUUAACUGGUGCCUUACAUAUCUUGCUGAGAGCAGAGGUCAGUUUUCUAAUGCAGAAAUCCACAAACUCAAAAAAAAAAAAAAUACUCUGAAGGCAGAUAUCAUAUUCUGUGUGUCUCUAUGUUUGUAGAAUGUGGAGAUGAGAAAUGGAAUAUCCUUUGUUUUCAGUGGAAGGAAUCUCUGCCUUCCUUUCAUUCAGAAAAACCUUAGAGAAGAAAAUACUCCUUUGGCCACUUCCAUGUACAGGAAAAUUCUGGCAGAAAACUAUGAAAUAUAGUGGGCUUCUAUAAUAAAACUAUUUUAAGCCAUAUACCAUUGAAAUAAACACCGUUGCUUUCUUUAUUUUCCUGUCUAGCACAAGAAGAUGCUGAAAACAGUGGUCUGAUUGAAAAAAUCUUUAUUAUGGUACGGCCUCCACCAGUCACUGUUACGAUUUAUAAUAGGCUCCGGGGAAGAAACCGUGGCAGAAGAUGACUGCUAGGAUAUUUCCAGAAGAGUUCAUCCAACUUCAUGGUGGAAUUUCAUGUGAAAAAAGUUCAAUUAUAAUUUUCAUGGCUGAUGCCAAUAAAAGUGAAUUUUAGCUGCAGGAACAAUGUUGUGCAAAGUGCUAUUUUUCAUCUUCCUUGUAUGGUGGAAGUGGGAUCUCACCUGGAACCAUGAGCUCUCUUUGGCAGAAAGAUGCUCUUAGCAAUUAUGCUCCUGAAUCUAUUGUUCUGUUAUCAUCAACAAUUUGUUACUCUUUGAUAAGGAUGGAAAAGAAUUGUUGGAGGGUAUUAUUUCAGAAAAAAUGCCGUAACCUCAAGAAUUCCAAAGUAUGUAAAUAUAUGGCCUUAAACAUGGUAAAGGAAAUUUGUAAACAGGGCAAAGGCAAUAGCAUUUUAUGUUACAUUGCAGAAUAGGAAGAAUGUGUACCCUACUUCAGGGCCGAGGAGGACACCUCCAGGCUGGGAACUGUAUGGAUCUAAUUGGGGACUUGAUUCCAGAGGACAAGUGCUGCUGCUUAGAAGCUGUGCUUCCUGGUCUAUAAAUGACACUGUUAAUGUCAUGGGUCUUACUUAUGAAACCAAACAAAUCAGAACUCCAAGGCUAGAGAUUUCCUCAAAGAACAUGUUUAUUGGCUACAUAGUAUCGGCAUAGUCAAAAGUGAAACCAAGUCUGAAAUUCCCUCCAAAGUGAUCCACUAUUAGUUAAACUUCCUACCCCAGUACUAUGCAAUCAGCUACAUUCCCCAAUAGAAUAGUUUGGCAGGCUUUCUAACC